GUCGAGCGGACCUUUUAAAAGCUUGCGUUUUGAAAGGUCAGCGGCGGACGGGUGAGUAACACGUGGGCAACCUGCCUGUAAGACUGGGAUAACUUCGGGAAACCGGAGCUAAUACCGGAUAAUAUAAGGAACCUCCUGGUUCUUUAUUGAAAGAUGGUUUCGGCUAUCACUUACAGAUGGGCCCGCGGCGCAUUAGCUAGUUGGUGAGGUAAUGGCUCACCAAGGCGACGAUGCGUAGCCGACCUGAGAGGGUGAUCGGCCACACUGGGACUGAGACACGGCCCAGACUCCUACGGGAGGCAGCAGUAGGGAAUCUUCCACAAUGGACGAAAGUCUGAUGGAGCAACGCCGCGUGAGCGAUGAAGGCCUUCGGGUCGUAAAGCUCUGUUGUUAGGGAAGAACAAGUGCGAGAGUAACUGCUCGCACCUUGACGGUACCUAACCAGAAAGCCACGGCUAACUACGUGCCAGCAGCCGCGGUAAUACGUAGGUGGCAAGCGUUGUCCGGAAUUAUUGGGCGUAAAGCGCGCGCAGGUGGUCCUUUAAGUCUGAUGUGAAAGCCCACGGCUCAACCGUGGAGGGUCAUUGGAAA
rnacentral:rRNA from 1 species